rnacentral:rRNA from 1 species
GGCGGACGGGUGAGUAAUGUCUGGGAAACUGCCUGAUGGAGGGGGAUAACUACUGGAAACGGUAGCUAAUACCGCAUAACGUCGCAAGACCAAAGAGGGGGACCUUAGGGCCUCUUGCCAUCGGAUGUGCCCAGAUGGGAUUAGCUAGUAGGUGGGGUAACGGCUCACCUAGGCGACGAUCCCUAGCUGGUCUGAGAGGAUGACCAGCCACACUGGAACUGAGACACGGUCCAG